rnacentral:rRNA from 1 species
AGCGAACGCUGGCGGCAGGCUUAACACAUGCAAGUCGAGCGGGCCCUUCGGGGUCAGCGGCAGACGGGUGAGUAACGCGUGGGAACGUGCCCUUCGGUUCGGAAUAACUCAGGGAAACUUGAGCUAAUACCGGAUACGCCCCUCUGGGGAAAGGCUUGCUGCCGAAGGAUCGGCCCGCGUCUGAUUAGCUAGUUGGUGAGGAUAUGGCUCACCAAGGCGACGAUCAGUAGCUGGUCUGAGAGGAUGAUCAGCCACACUGGGACUGAGACACGGCCCAGACUCCUACAGGAGGCAGCAGUGGGUGAUAUUGGACAAUGGGGGCAACCCUGAUCCAGCCAUGCCGCGUGAGUGAUGACGUCCUUAGGGUUGUAAAGCUCUUUUCUCCGGGACGAUAAUGACGGUACCGGAGGAAUAAGCCCCGGCUAACUUCGUG